UCUUAGGGGUGAGAAAAAAAAGUGGUUUCUUGACAUGGAAUCUACUCCUGGUGAAGAUGCUAUGAA
rnacentral:pre_miRNA from 1 species